rnacentral:sRNA from 1 species
GAGACGUGACCACCCGCCCCGCAUGGGGCCCCAAUCCCAGCUGCUUGAUCCGGCUCAGCCCCGAGGUGUUUGCAGCAGCUCUUUAUGAAAGUCCAGCCAUCUGUUACCUGCGUUGCUUCCUGGGGAGGGAUAGUCCACCUGGAGGCAUUCGGAGACCCAGUGAUUGUGCUCCGCGGAGCCUGGGCUGUGCCCCGCGUUGACUGCCUCAUAGAUACCCUACGAACCCCAAAUGCCAGCUGCAUGAGAAGAGGGACUCACCUUCUGGUUCCCUGCCUGGAAGAGGAAGAGCUGGCAUUGCACAGGAGAUGGCUGGACAUGUCUGAGGCACUGCCCUGCCCGGGCAAGGAGACCCCCACCCCAGGCUGCAGGCUGGGGGCCCUGUAUUGGGCCUGUGUCCACAAUGAUCCCACCCAGCUCCAAGCCAUACUGGAUGGUGGGGUCUCCCCAGAGGAGGCCACCCAGGUGGACAGUAAUGGGAGGGUGAGAUGUCCUGGCUUCCCAGAACAGCUGAGGGUAUCUUUACAUCCCCACCACACCGUCCUGGCCUGGCUCCCUGAGAGGGGUUCAGGGGCAAUACUUCCUGCAGUCCUAAGGAGGAAGGGAAUGGUUAAGGGUGGGUCUUCACAGGGUUUGGGGCAGGCUCUGGGACAGAUAUGGGUUUAGAGGGUGCAAGGGGCCCUGGGGUGGCCCAGGGGGAAAGCAGGGGAUCUGAGCUGCCCCUCCCUCAGACAGGCCUCAUGGUUGCAUGCUACCACGGCUUCCAGAGUGUUGUGGCCCUGCUCAGCCACUGUCCUUUCCUUGAUGUGAACCAGCAGGACAAAGGAGGGGACACGGCCCUCAUGUUGGCUGCCCAAGCAGGUGUGAGGCUGCUGCACCCCACUUCCGACAGCCCCCUUUUGAUGCAGACAGGGCCUCAGCCCCACCCUUGUUGCACGGUGUUCUACACCAGACUCUGUCAUGCUGGGUGGAGGGUGGUUUGGGAGCUUCAUCACCCCCUUUCCUGGGGACCAAGCUUACCCUUGAUGCCCUGCAGGCCACGUGCCUCUGGUGAGUCUCCUGCUCAACUACUAUGUGGGCCUGGACCUGGAACGCCGGGACCAGCGGGGGCUCACGGCGUUAAUGAAGGCUGCCAUGCGGAACCGCUGUGAGUGCGUGGCCACCCUCCUCAUGGCAGGUGUGUGGGGCCUGGACCGGGGUGUGUGGCCUCCAGUCCCUCCUCCAAGCCUGCCCACCAGACACUAAGUCAGCUGUGAUUAUUUGCAGAAAGGAGAGAGGUGGAGAUGGAGGAUCAAUCUAGUUCACCUUCCUGGAGUGGGGGCAUAUGCUUUGGGCUUGGUACAAUCAACCAAGUCCUGCUAUUGAUAGCUCAGACAUUGUGUGUGGAGGUCCCAGGAAGGAAAGUGUGGGAGGGGAACCUAGCCCAGCUGGAAAAUCUAACACGAAAAAAGGCUGGCAUCUGGAACCAGCCCCUGUUCCUAGCUGAGUGGCUUCCCUCUCUGGGCCUCACCAGUAUUGUGAGGGUGUUAGCUUUCCCUGGGACUACCUCCAACUCUGACAAGCCAGGCUUCCAGGGGAUCCAGGGAAGUGUCGUUGAGGCCUGUGGCUCUGUGGGGUCGUUCAGGGGGAGGUGCGGUGAAGUCCACAUUGUCCAUGGAGUUGUUUGGGGGCCCUCCUUCCCCGCAGUGGGGCUGCCCUCUGCUGGUCACUCUGGGGGACCCCUGCCUCCACUUUUCCCUUCCCCACACACCCCACUGGGUUUGGAGUGAAAAAGGAGUGAAUGAAAAAGGAGGGCGCUCUACACCCUUUCUUUUGUCUUAGAGUGACUGCUCCUCCCACAACCCCAAGAUGGGAGAGGGAGAUGGUGAGAAGAGAAGAACCAGGAGAGGGAACCAGCCGAUCAUCCCCACCCACCUGCCCCAGAGGGUGCAGCUCAGGCCUCUGCCUGUCCUGGGCAGCCUGCACCGCUGCUCUGCUCAGCUCCUUGGAUUGAGGAGAUCCCUAUUCUGCCCCAGGUGGAGCCCCACAAUAGGUCUCUCUGAAGUCUUUUCCCCUCUCUGGACCUAAGUGUCUUAAUCUCUCUUAAACAGGAGGUUGCAACACUGGCCUCCCCGAUUCCACCUGCAACAGGAUGGGACUCUAUGGCUUCAAAUGUAACCCACAUCAGUCUUGCUCCUAAAGAACCUGCCCUUCCACAAAUCACCAACCCCUAUCCCGCCCCAUGUCACCCCCUGUGCUCCUUCGCAGGUGCUGACCUGACAGCAGUGGACCCUGUUCGGGGCAAGACGGCCCUGGAAUGGGCAGUGCUGACCGACAGCUUCGACACCGUGUGGAGGAUUCGGCAGCUGCUGAGGCGGCCCCAAGUGGAGCAGCUUAGCCAGCACUACAAGCCCGAGUGGCCGGCCUUGUCUGGGCUCGUGGCCCAGGCCCAGGCCCAGGCCCAGGUUGCCCCUUCACUCCUAGAGCGGCUGCAGGCUACCUUGAGCCUCCCCUUUGCCCCGUCUCCUCAGGAGGGGGGUGUUCUGGACCACCUUGUGACUGCCACAACCAGCCUGGCCAGUCCCUUCGUCACCACUGCCUGCCACACUCUGUGCCCUGACCAUCCACCUUCGCUGGGCACCCGAAGCAAGUCCGUGCCAGAGCUGUUAGGUACUGCCCCGCCCCCUCCCCUGGUUCCCCAGUCCCCGCCAGGGAGUCCCCAGAGGUCCCCGUGGGUCUUCGUCCCCUACCAGAGCCCUCAGGGCAUAUUGAGCAAGUGCCUUCAGUGGCUACAACCCAGGGAUAGCACCAGCCCCAGGCCCCAAGUCCCCAAGAUCCUCCUCUCCAAGGCAUCCUCAUCCUCCCGCCAGUGCCAGCCGAAGCCCAGUCCUGCAGGACACCAAAGUCUGGCCCUUCCUCUCUGGCGAUACCAGGAGCUCAGGAUAGAGAAGAGGAAACAGGAGGAGGAGGCCAGAAUGGCACAGAAGUAGGGGAAGAUGGGAUAGGACAGGCUGGGAACAGGUAAUCAGGCCCCUCCCAGGGCUUCUUUCCCCUCUGGAGUGCCUCCGGCCUCCCCAUCCACCUCUGCCUAAGUAAAUCUGCUCUCAACCUAUAUAUAUACAAGGUCAUUCAUUCUAGCAUUGUUUGCAAGAGUGAAAGAGUGGAAACACCCGAAGUGUCCAUCAGUAAGGGACAGGCUAGAUUGAUUACGGAUGUAAUUGCUGUCCAUCCAUACAGAGCAUACUCUACAGUGUAUUCUAAAAUAAGACUAAGGAAGCUGUUUAUAUUCUGAUAUGAAACUACCAUCAAGAUGUAUAAAGUAAAAAUAACUAAGGAGUGGAA